rnacentral:misc_RNA from 1 species
AACGCACAUUGCGCCCAUUAGUAUUCUAGUGGGCAUGCCUGUUCGAGCGUCAUUUCAACCCCUAAGCACAGCUUACUGUUGGGACUCUACGGCCUCCGUAGUUCCCCAAAGCGAUUGGCGGAGUGGCAGUAGUCCUCUGAGCGUAGUAAUUCUUUAUCUCGCUUUUGUUAGGUGCUGCCCCCCCGGCCGUGAAACCCCCAAUUUUUUCUGGUUGACCUCGGAUCAGGUAGGAAUACCCGCUGAACUUAA